rnacentral:rRNA from 1 species
UGAUGGCAAGCAGGUUAAUAUUCCUGCGCUGGCUUGCAGACGUUGAACUAAGGGGUGACGGAGAAAGCUAAUUGAGCCAACCGGUGGUUGUGUUGGUCUAAGGUCGUAGGGGUGCUUGGUACGAUUAAAGGCCAGGCAGUUAUCUCCGAGAGCCGAAUGCGAGCGCGUUAGCGCGAAGUCAAUGAUGCUCUGCUUCCAAGAAAAACCUCGUAGGGAGUCUGUAGGUCAUCCGUGCCGUAAACCGACACAGGUGGGCGAGGCGAGUAGCCUCAGGGGCCCGAGAGAACUCUCCUCCAAGGAACUAGGCAAAUUAACACCGUAACUUCGGAAGAAGGUGUGCCCAUUGUAGGUGAAGCCGUACAGGCGGAGCUGAAAUGGGUUGCAGAGAAUAGGGGGUAGCGACUGUUUACCAAAAACACAGGACUCUGCGAAGGCGAGAAGCCGACGUAUAGGGUCUGACUCCUGCCCGGUGCUGGAAGGUUAAGGGGAUAUGUCAGCGCAAGCGAAGCAUUGAUCCGAAGCCCCAGUAAACGGCGGCCGUAACUAUAACGGUCCUAAGGUAGCGAAAUUCCUUGUCGGGUAAGUUCCGACCUGCACGAAAGGAGUAACGACUUCCCCACUGUCUCGGAGAGGGACUCGGCGAAAUUGAAAUAGCUGUGCCGAUGCAGUUUACCCGCAGAAAGACGGAAAGACCCCGUGAACCUUUACUAUAACUUGACAGUGACACUAGGGGUUGGCUGUGUAGCAUAGGUGGGAGCCUUUGAAGUCGGGCCGCUAGGUUCGAUGGAGGCGCAAUGUGAAAUACCACCCUGCUGACUUCUGGUGUCUAACCACGACCCGUAAUCCGGGUCUGGGGACACUGUCUGGUGGGUAGUUUGACUGGGGCGGUCGCCUCCCAAAGAGUAACGGAGGCGCGCGAUGGUUCCCUCAGCCUGAUUGGAAACCAGGCGUCGAGUGCAAUGGCAUAAGGGAGCUUGACUGCAAGACCGACGGGUCGAGCAGGUGCGAAAGCAGGUCAUAGUGAUCCGGUGGUUCUGAAUGGAAGGGCCAUCGCUCAACGGAUAAAAGGUACUCCGGGGAUAACAGGCUUAUCUCCUCCAAGAGUUCACAUCGACGAGGAGGUUUGGCACCUCGAUGUCGGCUCAUCGCAUCCUGGGGCUGGAGCAGGUCCCAAGGGUUAGGCUGUUCGCCUAUUAAAGCGGUACGCGAGCUGGGUUCAAAACGUCGUGAGACAGUUUGGUCCCUAUCUUCUGUGGGCGUAGGAGGCUUGAGAGGCUCUGACCUUAGUACGAGAGGACCGGGUUGGACACAUCUCUGGUGUACCAGUUGUCACGCCAGUGGCAUCGCUGGGUAGCUAUAUGUGGAUUGGAUAACCGCUGAAAGCAUCUAAGCGGGAAACCGACCUCAAGAAUUGGCCUCCCGGGAGCAAUCCCAUGAAGACCCCUUGUAGACUACGAGGUUGAUAGGCCGGGUGUGUAAGUGAAAAGAAAA